UACGUAGGGUGCAAGCGUUAAUCGGAAUUACUGGGCGUAAAGCGUGCGCAGGCGGUUUUGUAAGUUUGUCGUGAAAGCCCCGGGCUCAACCUGGGAAUUGCGAUGAAGACUGCAAGGCUUGAAUCUGGCAGAGGGGGGUAGAAUUCCACGUGUAGCAGUGAAAUGCGUAGAGAUGUGGAGGAACACCGAUGGCGAAGGCAGCCCCCUGGGUCAAGAUUGACGCUCAUGCACGAAAGCAUGGGGAGCAAACAGG
rnacentral:rRNA from 1 species